rnacentral:siRNA from 1 species
GACGAGCAGGAACGGAUGGAUA